UGCAAAAUCUAGAGCUUUUCUUCCAUCAAUUAUUUACUCUUACAGUUACAGUGUUGACCAUUCUUCAAUUUCGUUCACAUCAACCAUCAACCAAGUAUUUGUCCAUGGUGGAAUGUGAUUCUUUUCCACUACAAUGCCGCUGAGUGGAUGAGACUUUGCAGGCUAAGUCUAGAAACAAUCUUCCUUUUGCACCAUCUCAUCUCCCACUAACAUUCUCCAAAAAUCUAGCUCAUCCAACACUACUCGAUCCUAACAUGUGGGUCCAAGAUGAAAAGUCUAUGGUGAUACGAUCCCUCUUUUUGGUUGCCAAACCAGAAACCACCACCAAUGCCAAAAUUUCUCUGUGAUUUCAAAGGGUUUCAGGAAUUUGUUCCAAAAAUUCCAGCUUUUGCACAGCCACCAAAACUAAAUGCUCUUCUGAAAGUCAACCUCCCCGGCGGGUACAACGCGACAGUGAAAUGGCAGCGACCUACCAGGGAUUAUCAGCAGUGCACAGUGAGAUACUGCCAUUGGUAGUACUAUGGUUUUGUUUGGGGAGUUUAAGAUUUUGAGAAACAACUAGUGAGAAUUUAGUUGGUGAGAAUAUGAAAGGGCUGGGUUUCUUGGCUUCUAAAUUUUAGUUUAUUUUCUAGAUUGUAUAACUACAUAUUCUUAAAAUCUGGGUGGAAAUCUAAACUAUUUGAGAAAGAUUCUGACAGCUGAGGAUUCUAGGAGAAGCUGCAGCUAACAGAAACUUCCCAAACAGGCCCUAUACCUAGUACCACUCUGCUGCAUUGCUGCUACAGUACCAUCCUUAUUCAAUAGGAGCACCAAGUGUCACACUGUCACGAGGUCGAUGGUUCAGUACACUGAAGAUCAGUAGGUGCAUGGAUAUUUUUAGGGUCCAAAAUUCAGUACUACCACGCUGCCCAAUUAGUGCCAGCUCGAUCUCAACAUCUUGCUUUGUCAACUAGCAGUAAUGACCCAAUCAAACAUGAUGUACAGUUAGUUACCUGCAUCUUCUUCUCAGAUCUGAACCAGAUUCUGCUUGAACACAUACACUGGAACUCUGCAAGCUAAUCUCAAACGGGAAAGCAGCAGGAGUAGAGUACUGUCAAGUGGAUCGUUCUGCUUGUUCUGUUCUGCUUGCAGCUUCCCUGCAAGUGUUAGCAGUAUCAGUCUCCAAUAAUUCAGACCUUUUGGUAUGAACUGAGCCGUUGCGAUUUGCGGCUGCAUCUGAUCUGCACCCAAAGAUUCUUCUUCGCGGUUAGAAAAGGGUUCCCUUGUACCAGCGUCGCACGCGACAACACAAUUAAUAGGAGAUAAUGCCGUCCACGCGUAAGCCCAUCAACUUUUAACCACCAGCUUGUCUAGAGCUCGAGGCAGGGGGCCAUGCAUGCAUCAUCUUUCGGUUAUGGUAGGAGAGCAGGACGCCGACACUGAUCCAUCUACUUGACUGGUAGUACUACCAGUAGUUUAGUACCAUGCUACUGUUUAGCCUCUAAUGAUUAAUGAGUUGCAUAUACUCGCAUAGUGAAAUCAAACCGGGGCCCGGCAGAACAGAUGAAUUGAGUGAAUUGAAUUGAAUUGAAUUGACAGUGGGCUAGUUGGUAGUACUGAGUUGCUGUUGCAGAAGUGUGAUGGUUAGCUGAUGAGUGAUGAACCGCUGACUGACGAUGACUGGUCUCUUCAUUUUUCUUUGCAUCUUUCUGAAGCUACUGUGGUGCUACUUCUUUUCGUCCCAGCCGUCCACUGGAUUGUUAAUGGCCAUAGUAAAGCGACGUCACGAUGUCAGUAACUUGUGGUUCUCGUUCUUGGUUGGGGUUUGGGGUCAUGGUCGAAUAAAUAAAGCCCUUGCUGUUGUUACUGCUUAAUUAGUGCAGGGAUUGAAGAGACUUUUCUUGGCAAGAACAGAGGAAGAAAGUAAGAUUGAAUUGCUUUUCAUGUUUUUUUUUGUCUCCUUUGGUUUGUUUUCUAGAUAAGGAUGGAGUACAGGUAGCUAUCUCGGUAGAAUAUCGAAUGUAGGAAAGUGUAGCGUCUGCCUUACUGUUUGUUUUUCUUUUUUGUUGGAUCAGAUGCCUCCCUAGUUCAUCUUCCCAUUUCUGAGAGGUGUUUCUUUGUCUAUGUUAGCUUCUGGUCCUGGAGUCUGCCAAGAUUUAUGAUAUGCUCUUUUUUUACCUUCACCUUUUCUUUCUCUUUUGAGAGAUAAAGAGAGUUAAUAAAAUAAUCUUAUGCCGAUAUGCUCAUGCGUGUUUAGCAAGGACACAUCCCUUUUGUCCUUGGAAUAAAGAUAUCAUUGAUUCAGCAAUUGGAUUAGAUUUUUCUGUUAGCCCAUCUGUAUGUUUGGAGGCCCAAAGUCUAAUAGAUCCAAAACUGUGCUACAUGGGCCUAAAGGCCUUAAUGCCUUCUUCAUGAGUCCCAGCCUGUCAGGGCCAUGAGCCCAGGACUUACUCUUCAGCAUACUGGAGUAGGCAGAUAGUAAGACAUUCUUGCCAAAACAAAUUAAACUGAAAUUCUAAAGCAGAUAAAACAAGGUUGGUAAAUAGCCACAAAUCCUAGGACUGACUUAGGUGCCCAAAUUAUUUUUCUGGUGUGUUUGAACUCAUCAACAUUUUUCUUUUUAAAAAAAUCGCAUCAGCAUAUAUUGACAUCAACUAUAGUUCAGGGUGCUAACAAAUACUAUCAUACACUACUUAUCUUGCCCACAAAUUGUAAGGUCUAAAAGAAGCUAGCAUAUUUGAUGCUUUUUUUUUUCUCCACUUACAAAGUGGAACAAAAAGACACUUCACUUUCAUAUCUUUUUUUUCUCUUUGGAGGACUAUAUCUGAUAUAAUCCAUGACAGCGACGAAACCCUUAUCUGAAUUAGUC
rnacentral:sRNA from 1 species